GGAGCCGUGGAUAGUUAAGCUUAACUUUCUUAACUUUUCCCAUUCAUUCUCUAUGGUAGUUCUUAACACUACGGAUGCAAUAUGCUUUUGUCCACUACGCAUUUUGGCGCUGUUGCGCUGUUGAGCUGCUUUUUAAAAAAUAUUGGCAGCCAUCUUUGAAUCAUUUGUUGUGGUCGGCGUUACUGAUGACAGAUAUCGGACUGACUUUUUACUCUCAGAAAGUUGCGUCUGUGUCCCCCUUUAGGUUUGAGCCCUCGUCCUCCCAACUGACCCUGUGGCUCUCCGCUGCAGCAGAACUGGCCCUUGAGUACUGCCAGAAGGGGACCACUACCUAGCUAGAAGAUCAAGAGGGUGGACAGGGUGUGCAUGGAGGCAAGGGACACAGUGGCACUGAAAGGAGGCGACCCCAGAGCGUGAUGUGCGCAGGCUGAUGGGUCGGGUGCCGAUACAGCUGUGUGAGCUAAAUCAAAGGGCACUCUCCCAAUGGUCCGUCAGAACACAGAGGGAGACAGAGAGGACUGUGGUGGCACCUUGACCAGGCACUGCAGACGGGCUCAGCGGGGGCGACCCAGAACCAAGCAGCAUCGGCAACGUAUCGUCCAGCAGCAGUGGACCCACAGCCCAGCAGCAGUGGCGGUGUAUCGUCUGACAGCAGCGGCCGGUUCAGCAGUGGCGGUGUAUCGUCUGACAGCAGCCGACCCAGGGCCCAGCAGCAUCGGCAGUGUAUCGUCCAACAUGAGCUGACCCAGGGCCCAGCAGCAUCAGCAGUGACAGCAGCGCACCCAGGAUCCAGCAGCAAUGGCGCUGGAUCAGCAGCGGACCCAGGGCCACCAGCAGUGUCAGUGUAUCGCCCAGCAACAGCGGACCCAGGGCCAGCAGCAGUGUCUAACAGGCUUGUGCAAAAUUCCAGAAUGGAAUUGAAACUGGCUCUUAAAUUCCAAUUUAAUUCUUGAAUUUUACUUGCAUUUCAAAUGAGGUAGCAAACAGGAAGCAGAAUUGCAAUUCGAAUUGUGCACAACCCUGGUGUCUAAGUGUAUCGUCCAGAAGCAGCCGACCCACACACACGCACACA